rnacentral:rRNA from 1 species
GACGAACCGUGCGAACGUUGUUCGGAUUCACUGGGCUUAAAGGGCGCGUAGGCGGGCUGCCAAGUCAGGGGUGAAAUCCUUCGGCUCAACCGGAGAACAGCCUCUGAUACUGGCGGUCUGGAGGGAGGUAGGGGCAGGUGGAACUUCUGGUGGAGCGGUGAAAUGCGUAGAUAUCAGAAGGAACGCCGGUGGCGAAAGCGACCUGCUGGACCUCUUCUGACGCUGAGGCGCGAAAGCUAGGGGAGCAAACGGG